GGAAACAUAACCAUUUAUUACCUUUGCCAUAAAACAAAGGGUCACAGACAGCCAGGGUUGAGCUGGACCUUGAGAAGCUAUUGUUCCAUUUCAGCCUUUCUGAGUGAGAGGCAGCUCUUCCCAAGGUGUGCUGUACUUCACAGGUUUGCUGAAAACAGUGGUGGUGGCCUCCUGGGAGAUGCAUGGUCCAGGAAGUAGGAACUUUAGAGGACAGCAAAGGAGGCUUUUCAUGAGGUGACAAGUGACCUCACAGUGAGAAACACAUAGUUGGCCCAGAGAAAAACAAGUCUGGAUGAGCCUAAGAGAUUUCAUGACUGCAGGACUUAAGUUUCCAAA
rnacentral:lncRNA from 1 species